AGAGUUUGAUCAUGGCUCAGAUUGAACGCUAGCGGCAUGCUUAACACAUGCAAGUCGAACGGUAACAGACCGCUGUGAUCCCUUCGGGGUGAACUUGGUGCUGACGAGUGGCGGACGGGUGAGUAAUACAUAGGAAUCUACCCAGUAGCGGGGGAUAACGUGUGGAAACGCACGCUAAUACCGCAUACGCCCUACGGGGGAAAGCGGGGGACCUUCGGGCCUCGUGCUAUCGGAUGAGCCUAUGUCUGAUUAGCUUGUUGGUGAGGUAAAGGCUCACCAAGGCGACGAUCAGUAGCUGGUUUGAGAGAAUGAUCAGCCACACUGGGACUGAGACACGGCCCAGACUCCUACGGGAGGCAGCAGUGGGGAAUAUUGGACAAUGGGCGCAAGCCUGAUCCAGCGAUGUCGCGUGUGUGAAGAAGGCCUGUGGGUUGUAAAGCACUUU
rnacentral:rRNA from 1 species